rnacentral:rRNA from 1 species
ACUCCUACGGGAGGCAGCAGUGGGGAAUAUUGCACAAUGGGCGCAAGCCUGAUGCAGCCAUGCCGCGUGUGUGAAGAAGGCCUUCGGGUUGUAAAGCACUUUCAGUUGUGAGGAAGGUGGUGUCGUUAAUAGCGGCAUCAUUUGACGUUAGCAACAGAAGAAGCACCGGCUAACUCCGUGCCAGCAGCCGCGGUAAUACGGAGGGUGCGAGCGUUAAUCGGAAUUACUGGGCGUAAAGCGCAUGCAGGUGGUUGUAAGUCAGAUGUGAAGACCGGGGCCGUCAACCUCGGAACUAGCAUUGUAACUAGGCAGACUAGAGUACUGUAGAGGGGGUAGGAAUUUCUAGGUGUAGCGGUGAAAUGCGUAGAGAUCUGAAGGAAUACCGGUGGCGAAGGCGGCCCCUCGGACAGAUACUGACACUCAGAUGCG